rnacentral:rRNA from 1 species
CAGGAUGAACGCUAGCUACAGGCUAACACAUGCAAGUCGAGGGGCAGCAUAUCGGUAGCUUGCUACUGAUGAUGGCGACCGGCGCACGGGUGAGGUAACGCGUAUCCAACCUUCCCCUUAGUAGGGCAUAGCCCGGCGAAAGUCGGAUUAAUACCCUAUGUUAUCCAGCGAUGGCAUCUGAAUUGGAUUAAAGGUUUACCGCUAAGGGAUGGGGAUGCGUCUGAUUAGGUAGUCGGCGGGGUAACGGCCCACCGAGCCUGCGAUCAGUAGGGGUUCUGAGAGGAAGGUCCCCCACAUUGGAACUGAGACACGGUCCAAACUCCUACGGGAGGCAGCAGUGAGGAAUAUUGGUCAAUGGGCGAGAGCCUGAACCAGCCAAGUAGCGUGCAGGAAGACGGCCCUAUGGGUUGUAAACUGCUUUUAUACAGGGAUAAAGUCGGGGACGUGUCCCCGUUUGCAGGUACUGUAUGAAUAAGGACCGGCUAAUUCCGUGCCAGCCGCAGC